CACGUGCUACAAUGGCAUAUACAAUGAGGAGCAAUACCGCGAGGUGGAGCAAAUCUAUAAAAUAUGUCUUAGUUCGGAUUGUUCUCUGCAACUCGAGAGCAUGAAGCCA
rnacentral:rRNA from 1 species